AAAUUUCAUUUCGUUCUUACAAUUAGACUUCAGUUAAACAAUGGUUUUAGGGAAGCUACUUUUCUUGCUUUCAAAAGAGUGCAAAAUUCUAAUUUUAUAUGUUGAUUAAACGUUGCUUUUUGAUUGGGAAGAUUAUGGCGUUCGUGUUUUGGGAUGUGUAAGGUGCAAUAUUCACUGACUAUUUUGAAAAGAAGAAAAGGACUAGUAGUGAAUAUUAUGCAGCAUCGUAGGUGUGUUUGAAUGUCGAACUUGAUAAAAACUGAAAGUUAAACCACAGAUUUUUCGAGUAAUGUUCUAUAUUAACAUUAACAUUAUUAGAGAUUAAAAAAUAAAUGAAAAGUGCUUGAAAGAAUAUGCUAGAUUGUUAUAUUACAACCGCUCAGGACAAGAAUAAAUUAAUACAGAAGAAAAUACGUGCGUGAACGUACGUGCGAAGGAAAGGGAACCAGCAGACGUACGCAUUUAUUUUUCAGACAGCAGUAUGAUUGACAGUUCUAUUCCAGGAAACAACUAAUCACCGACGUUCUGAAAUUAUAACACUUUCUAUUUGAUCGUCGCUGUACAAAAGAAUGACCUGUGGUCCCGCGCGUUAUUUUUGUAGUUGCCGAUUCACUACACAUGAUGUGCUGCUAUGAAACUACUAAUACAUGUCUGAGAGAUAUGAGCGAAAUAUAUCUUUUGGGGAUUUAUGAAAAUUUCCUCGACGUCAACGGCAGACAAAUCGGUUGUUAAUACUUAAGCCAUUCUGUGUAUGUGUGUAUGCAUAUAAAACGGGUCUUACUGUGCAAUGAGCAAAUAUGGAGAAACACAUCUUCAAUUAAUAAUCCUAGCAUGUAUAUUAAAUAAUUAGAUAUAUUAGUAUAUUAGAUAGUUAGAUAAUGUGAAUAUAUGAAUAUUAGAUAAUAUGUAACAUUUAUAUAUGGGUACUUACGUAUUAAC